ACAGCAAGUCAUAGAACCUCUUGGAACCCCAGUUUCCACAUCUGGAAGAAGGGGCAGAAUAGUAUCAAAAAUGCUUCACUCCCAGGAAUGUGGUGAGCAUAAAAUUAAAUAAUGAAAAAGUCAACUAUAAAGCACUAAAUAAAUAUAAGAUGGUGAAUCUGACAGAGGAAGAAUUAAAUGACUUGUUCAAGGUCACCUUUGAGGAAUUUGCAGGAAGUUUAACUUAUGUAUAUUUUUCCCCUGUAGUACCCCAGAUGGAGUCUCACUCUGUCGCCCAGGCUGGAGUGCAGUGGCACCAUCUCGGCUCACUGCAACUUCCGCCUCCCAGGUUCAAGAGAUCCUCCUGCCUCAGCCCCACUAGUAGCUGGGAUUACAGGGAAAUCUAUUAUGGGAUGGCCUGGAUAUAUCACUUUAAAAAUCCUGCUUUUAAUGAACAAAUGAGAAAAGAGAUGAGGUUUCACCAUGCUGCCCAAGCUGGUCUCCAACUUCUGGGCUCAAGCGGUCUGCCCUCCUUGGCCUCCCAAAGUGCUGGGAUUACAGACCAAGAAAUUGAGCUACAGUGAGGUCACACAGCCGAGAAUCACACAGUGAAGAGUUGGGAUUUGAGCCUGGAAUACUCUGACCUCAGAGUCUGGAUGCUAGUCUCUUGCUGCCUCCCCUGUGUUAUGAGGUCAUGUCUAAAUCACCUCCGUUACUGAAAAUGCUUGUGAAAGACCUAUUCUGCUGGAUAGAGCAGUCACCUUAGUCAAAUAUGAUCCAAAUGUUGCCAUUAGGUCCUACCCAACCCCAUCAAAGAUCAGAACCUGGAGGUGUGGUAACUCCCUCCAGUCCAGAAAAAAAAAAAAAAAAACAAACCCAGUAGGUCAGAGUAAGGAGCUGCUCUGAGCCAUCAGUGGGAGGGUUAAGUUAAAGAAUAGAAAGAUGUAACCUGACCCAAAACUUAGCUCUCAUUUUCAACAGGCAAGAGCUCCUUGCAGGGUGACCUUGACUCAGACCCACAAUUUCAUCUUUUUUUUUUGUUUUCUUUUUGGAAUGGCAAUAACAAUGUCUGCCCAGCAUCCACCACUUUAAGUUGGUGUUUACAAUAGAACUGACACAGCCCUUUAAGCAGGCUCUUGCGUGCAGAGUUAACUCUCCCCUUGCACACAGAGCAGAUCGUCAGGCUCCCUCCAGCCCCAGGACCUUUCUCUAACCAUAAAAAGGCAAUUGUACCUCUAAACCCCAAAUCCUUACCUAUCCCUGCUGCACCCAGCUGUGCAAGGUGAGUCCUAGGAGGUCACAUCCCACAUGAUUCCACGUUUUCUCAUCAGUAUCCUUUGCUAGUUCCAGAUAUUGCAACAUCACUACUGUUCAAGAUUAGAACUUAAGAACUUGAAAAGGUCAAGAAAGAUGUGGUGCCUUGUCUCCACAUCAAGUAAACAGUCCGUGGCAUUGGCCUCUGACAAAUGACAACAGACUCACGGGGCAGCAGUUGAGGAGCUGUGCUUACAUGAUACUUACCAUCCUGAGAAGCAUGGAUGUAUGGGGAUACCCAUACCCUGGUAACCCAACCCCAUGGGCUCAGACAGUGUUGAACACUAGAGAAUCUUCAUCAUUUGCUCAGCUGUCACCACUUCCACAGAUGCAAGAAAUGGCCGAUGGUUCUAGAGGAUGACCCCAGCCUCUCAAAUAGAAAAGGGAGUGUGUUAGAUGUCAUCCAGCCAGUCGUAUAGAAAGGUGGACUUUAAGAAACUGUGGUUAAUGUUGGAAGGAAACAUAAGGCAGCUUUUAAAGCUAUUUUCAUAGUCUUCAAAGAGAAAUAAAUGACCAGCGCCGACGGCUGCAGACAGCAGGACAGGCAGCCUGAC
rnacentral:lncRNA from 1 species